rnacentral:rRNA from 1 species
UACGUAGGGGGCGAGCGUUGUCCGGAUUUAUUGGGCGUAAAGAGCGUGUAGGCGGCCAGGUAGGUCGGUUGUGAAAACUGGAGGCUCAACCUUCAGAGGUCGACCGAAACCAUCUGGCUAGAGUCCGGGAGAGGAGAGUGGAAUUCCUGGUGUAGCGGUGAAAUGCGCAGAUAUCAGGAAGAACACCCGUGGCGAAAGCGGCUCUCUGGAACGGUACUGACGCUGAGACGCGAAAGCGUGGGGAGCGAACAGG